rnacentral:rRNA from 2 species
CUAACAAGGAUUCCCCUAGUAACGGCGAGUGAAGCGGGAAGAGCUCAAAUUUGAAAUCUGGUGGCCUCAGGUCAUCCGAGUUGUAAUCUAUAGAAGUGUUUUCCGUGCUGGCUCAUGUACAAGUCCCUUGGAACAGGGCGUCAUAGAGGGUGAGAAUCCCGUCCUUGACAUGAACUACCAGUGCUCUGUGAUACAUUUUCAACGAGUCGAGUUGUUUGGGAAUGCAGCUCAAAAUGGGUGGUAAAUUCCAUCUAAAGCUAAAUAUUGGCGAGAGACCGAUAGCGAACAAGUACCGUGAGGGAAAGAUGAAAAGCACUUUGGAAAGAGAGUUAAACAGUAUGUGAAAUUGUUAAAAGGGAAACGAUUGAAGUCAGUCGUGCUCUUUGGAUUCAGCCGGUUCUGCCGGUGUACUUCCUUUGAGUGGGGUCAACAUCAGUUUUGAUCGCUGGAUAAAGGCUGGAGGAACGUAGCACCCCCGGGUGAACUUAUAGCCUCCUGUCACAUACAGUGGUUGGGACUGAGGAACGCAGCACGCCUUUAUGGCCAGGAUCCGUCCAUGUACGUGCUUAGGAUGUUGACAUAAUGGCUUUAAACGACCCGUCUUGAAACACGGACC